GCGAACGCUGGCGGCAGGCCUAAUACAUGCAAGUCGAGCGCCCGCAAGGGAGCGGCAGACGGGAGAGUAACACGUGGGAACGUACCCUUCAGUUCGGAACAACCAAGGGAAACUUUGGCUAAUACCGGAUACGUCCGAAAGGAGAAAGAUUUAUCGCUGAAGGAUCGGCCCGCGUCUGAUUAGCUAGUUGGUGGGGUAAUGGCCCACCAAGGCGACGAUCAGUAGCUGGUCUGAGAGGAUGAUCAGCCUCACUGGGACUGAGACACGGCCCAGACUCCUACGGGAGGCAGCAGUAGGGAAUAUUGGACAAUGGGGGCAACCCUGAUCCAGCCAUGCCGCGUGAGUGAUGAAGGCCUUAGGGUUGUAAAGCCCUUUCGACGGGGAGGAAGGCACCGGCGCGAAUAGCGUUGGUGAUUGACGUAACCUGGAGAAGAAGCACCGGCUAACUCCGU
rnacentral:rRNA from 1 species